rnacentral:rRNA from 1 species
AGGGAAUCUUCCACAAUGGACGAAAGUCUGAUGGAGCAACGCCGCGUGAGUGAAGAAGGUUUUCGGAUCGUAAAGCUCUGUUGUUGGUGAAAAAGGAUAGAGGCAGUAACUGGUCUUUAUUUGACGGUAAUCAACCAGAAAGUCACGGCUAACUACGUGCCAGCAGCCGCGGUAAUACGUAGGUGGCAAGCGUUGUCCGGAUUUAUUGGGCGUAAAGCGAGCGCAGGCGGAAUGAUAAGUCUGAUGUGAAAGCCCACGGCUCAACCGUGGAACUGCAUCGGAAACUGUCAUUCUUGAGUGCAGAAGAGGAGAGUGGAACUCCAUGUGUAGCGGUGGAAUGCGUAGAUAUAUGGAAGAACACCAGUGGCGAAGGCGGCUCUCUGGUCUGCAACUGACGCUGAGGCUCGAAAGCAUGGGUAGCGAACAGGAUUAGAUACCCUGGUAGUCCAUGCCGUAAACGAUGAGCGCUAGGUGUUGGGGACUUUCCGGUCCUCAGUGCCGCAGCAAACGCAUUAAGCGCUCCGCCUGGGGAGUACGACCGCAAGGUUGAAAC